GUGCUCAGUUUGGCAGCACGUAUACUACUAAAAUUGGAAAGAUACAGAGAAGAUUAGCAUGGCCCCUGCACCAGGAUAACACACAAAGUCAUGAAGUAUUCCAUAUGUUU
rnacentral:snRNA from 1 species